AGCGAACGCUGGCGGCAGGCUUAACACAUGCAAGUCGAACGCCCCGCAAGGGGAGUGGCAGACGGGUGAGUAACACGUGGGCACGUACCCUUUGGUUCGGAAUAACUUGGGGAAACCCAAGCUAAUACCGGAUAAGCCCUUAUGGGGAAAGGUUUACUGCCGAAGGAUCGGCCCGCGUCUGAUUAGCUAGUUGGUGAGGUGAUGGCUCACCAAGGCGACGAUCAGUGGCUGGUCUGAGAGGAUGAUCAGCCACGAUGGGACUGAGACACGGCCCAGACUCCUACGGGAGGCAGCAGUGGGGAAUAUUGGACAAUGGGGGCAACCCUGAUCCAGCCAUGCCGCGUGAGUGAUGAAGGCCUUAGGGUUGUAAAGCUCUUUUACCCGGGACGAUAAUGACUGUACCGGGAGAAUAAGCCCCGGCUAACUUCGUGCCAGCAGCCGCAGUAA
rnacentral:rRNA from 1 species